rnacentral:rRNA from 1 species
AUUGAACGCUGGCGGCAUGCCUUACACAUGCAAGUCGAACGGUAACAGGCCUUCGGAUGCUGACGAGUGGCGAACGGGUGAGUAAUACAUCGGAACGUGCCUAGUAGUGGGGGAUAACUACUCGAAAGAGUGGCUAAUACCGCAUGAGAUCUACGGAUGAAAGCAGGGGAUCGCAAGACCUUGUGCUACUAGAGCGGCCGAUGGCAGAUUAGGUAGUUGGUGGGAUAAAAGCUUACCAAGCCGACGAUCUGUAGCUGGUCCGAGAGGACGAUCAGCCACACUGGGACUGAGACACGGCCCAGACUCCUACGGGAGGCAGCAGUGGGGAAUUUUGGACAAUGGGCGCAAGCCUGAUCCAGCAAUGCCGCGUGCAGGAUGAAGGCCUUCGGGUUGUAAACUGCUUUUGUACGGAACGAAAAGCCCUGGGUUAAUACCCUGGGGUCAUGACGGUACCGUAAGAAUAAGCACCGGCUAACUACGUGCCAGCAGCCGCCGUAAUAC